rnacentral:lncRNA from 1 species
UUUUUUUUUAUAUAAUUUGAGUCCAUUCCUAUGUACUAGAACUUGCAUGGAAUCAAUGAGACAUACUUUAAUUUUUGUUUUUUUAAGUUUGUUCAUACAAGGAUUGCUAACUAAUUUCCUUUUAUUUCAAAUAAUGAAGAAUUUACAUUCAGAAUACUUUCAUUAUGAUCUCUUAAACUUAAGUUUAAAUGAAAAAGGUAGGAGUAUCAGUAAUGAAAAGUAAGUCCUGUUUUUUAUCAUUUUAAUCCUGUCUUGAUCCAUUAUUCAUAAAUAUUUUGGCUACCCCUUGUACUAAUGUAAUAGAAAUGUAUUCUGUGUUGAAAUAAUUUAGUUACAGCACUAAAAAUACUUACCAAAAUAUAAAUAUUAAAUUAAGUCUUGGAAUAUAAUAAUAUUAAAAUUAUUAUCCCUAUUAUGGCACAUAGGGCCUAUUUCACUGAGACUUAGCUCUGAAACGUGAUAAAUGUGUUUCUCCAUUUUUUUUUUGCACAUGUCUUUAGUAUCAAAAUAUAUUUAAUAAAAUUAUUUUAAUAAUAUCCACAUGUAAAUAACAGCAUAUGGUGCUUAAUAUAAUAGUAGUUUGUUCAUGAGAAUGUCAAAUAAAGGGACGUAACUCGUAAAUUACCAUCUGCCCCGCUUUGUCAGAAAUAUCACCACAUCGAAGAGGCACUUUGCGUAUUAAGUGGCACAAAUUUGACACGUCAUAGUCCAAGUUAUUUUACAUAACAUAAUUUAGAUUCAGCAUAGCUUCACAAGAAGUUAAGAAAGAAAAUUAUGAUUUUAAUUUCCUGAGACCAAUUGUUUAGGUCAUCUCCUGGACUUUGAAGACACAUUUUGAGAGAAAAAAUGAUUUUAAUCCAGUAUUGAGUAGAUCAAUAUGUUUCUUAUAUACUCAAGAAUGUUCAAUUAAAAGAAAAUUAGUUAUAAUUCAUGCAAAAAACUGCAAAUUAAAAAAAAAGGGGCUUGACCUUUUUUGGUAAAAAAAUGCCCAUAUAUGGUAAUCACAUGACGUCCAUUGUUGCUUUAAGAAAGGGGGUCAAACCGGGGUCAGCUUUCCAACUGUUAGCACACAAAAUAAAUAUCUACAAACCAAUAGUAUAUUUGUAAAAA